rnacentral:rRNA from 1 species
GGAGUUAGGAAAUGUAAGUGCGCUAAUAUCGUGCUUAUUUGACAAAGGCUCCAAAGGAAGCCACGGCUAACUCUGUGCCAGCAGCCGCGGUAAUACAGAGGUGGCGAGCGUUGUUCGGAAUUAUUGGGCGUAAAGAGCACGUAGGUGGGUUUGCAAGUCAGAUGUGAAAGCCUUCUGUUCAACGGAAGAAUUGCAUCUGAAACUGCUAAUCUUGAGUAUAGGAGGGGAGAGUGGAACUUCUGGU